UUCUCAAUGCUAAGUUGCAUGGCACGGCGAAUACGAUAGACUCGAUCGUAGGAUUCCAUCUUAGGCAAACGAGAUAACGCCUUUUGAGUAUCGUCAUUCUCCUCCAACAUCAAAUCGUCGUAUCGAAGACCAUAUUUACGGUAUCCUGACAAAUGCACAUAGGCAUUGGAGAUGGGUAAAAGCAAUUUCGUCAAAAAUGGUGAUUUUUGAAUAUACUUGGCAAGAGACACAGGUUUCAUACUUAAACAAUCACUUCAGCAAAAAAAAAUUUCGUCACUACAAAAUUUGCACUGAAAUCAAUAAAACUCUUAGUUUUGAAUAUUGGAAGAAGGUAAGAUCUCAUGGCCCUAUAGUAUGCCAAUGAAUCCUUCGGUCACCUGAUGUUACCUGCACAUAGAAUCCUGAGCGGAAUUAGAAAGUAAUGAAAA